UAUUUGUUUCCAUUUUUCACAAAAACUUCCUGUGAUGUUUCAUAGUUGCAAAUACUCACAUGAGGUAUCGGACCAAGCCAGAUAGUGAAAACGUCUCCAUAU
ensembl:ncRNA K07C6.16 ncRNA